rnacentral:rRNA from 1 species
UUAGGAAUCUUGCGCAAUGGGCGAAAGCCUGACGCAGUGACGUCGCGUGCCGGAUGAAGGCCUUCGGGCUGUAAACGGCUUUUCUGCCGGACGAAUUUUGACGGUACGGCAUGAAUAAGCUCCGGCUAACUACGUGCCAGCAGCCGCGGUAAGACGUAGGGAGCAAGCGUUAUCCGGAAUUAUUGGGCGUAAAGAGUGCGUAGGCAGUCUGAUUGGUCUUAUAUUAAACAUUUUGGCUCAACCAAAAAAAUGUAUAAGAUACCGUCAGACUAGAGACUAAUAGAGGCAGGUGGAAUUCCCGGUGGAGCAGUGAAAUGCGUUGAUAUCGGGAGGAACACCAAUGGCGAAGGCAGCCUGCUAGGUUAGUUCUGACGCUGAGGCACGAAAGCGUGGGUAGCGAACGGG